rnacentral:rRNA from 1 species
GUAGUCAUAUGCUUGUCUCAAAGAUUAAGCCAUGCAUGUCUAAGUAUAAGCAAUUAUACAGCGAAACUGCGAAUGGCUCAUUAAAUCAGUUAUCGUUUAUUUGAUAGUACCUUACUACUUGGAUAACCGUGGUAAUUCUAGAGCUAAUACAUGCUAAAAACCCCGACUCACGAAGGGGUGUAUUUAUUAGAUUAAAAGCCAAUGCCCUUCGGGGCUCACUGGUGAUUCAUAAUAACUUGUCGAAUCGCAUGGCCUUGCGCCGGCGAUGGUUCAUUCAAAUUUCUGCCCUAUCAACUUUCGACGGCUGGGUCUUGGCCAGCCAUGGUGACAACGGGUAACGGAGGGUUAGGGCUCGACCCCGGAGAACGAGCCUGAGAAACGGCUAUUACAUCCAAGGAAGGCAGCAGGCGCGCAAAUUACCCAAUACCGACUCGGUGAGGUAGUGACGAUAAAUACUGNUACAGGGCUCUUUUGGGUCUUGUAAUUGGAAUGAGUACAAUUUAAAUCCCUUAACGAGGAACAAUUGGNGGGCAAGUCUGGUGCCAGCAGCC